CUUAAUCUAUGCAGUAAUGCUGUUAUAGGUGUUAGUCGUUUGUCAUUCUUUAAUUCUGUCAACAUAUGCAAUAAGUUCGUAUAUUAUUUUUUCCCGAUAACUUAGGGUGGUGUUGUCUCUGAAGAUACCAUAUGAUGCAAGGAUUGAUCUAAAGAGGGAUCGUAGAAAUGCAUGAGGACCUCCACUCCCAGUAAAAAAUCAAAAUUUUUAAUUAUAUUCUACGUCAGUUAUAAUUCGUUUCUUUAACAGAAAAUUCAAUAGGUGAAUCUGUUCUAGUCUUUUUCUUCUACCUACCUACGUUGUGUACUACUUUUUGUGAACUGAAGUCACUAAAUCUUUGUGGUAAGCUUUUGUGAACUGAAGUUAUACAUUUGAUUAAUGAUCAUAAGGCUUAGAUGUUGUAUAUAUACUUGAGGUGCAUCACAUUUACUUACAAUAAGAAGUAUUUUCCCUUUUAAUGUCUAGAAUUCAAGGGAACUCUAGUACCAUUUGCUGAGAAUUACUGGUUGGGGAGAAUCAUCUAUAGUCAUGCCUUCUCUUCAACUUGACCAUCUAAGGUAUAUCACCCAUGAUUUCCAUGUCACCACAAAACUUGUAAAAAUAAUCUAGAAAAGAUUCUACUGCCAGCAUGUUGAUGUCUCCUAUUGUGCUGGUUCUUUUUUGUGCAUAAAUAUUGUCUUAUUAUACCAUUCAAUUGUUACUUUUCUACUGGUUGGAAACUUCUAAAUGAAUAAAAAGAAUGUUGCACUGGCUGGAGACACUAGAUGUCUGAAACUACCAUAUCAAUUAUAUUUUUGUUUUUAGAUUUAAUUGAAUCUUUAUGUUACUUGUGUGCGCAUGCGUAUGUUUGGUUUUUUUUUGGGGGGUGGGUGGGUGGGUGUUUAUAUAGUGUGAGUUACAAUUAAAAUUGUUUCUGAGAAGUAUUUAUGUCACUUUUGUUGGACAGGAAGUGACUCUUUAGCUUGAUCAAUGAACUGCCUACUGUCUUUGAAGUUAUAACAGAAAGGAGGCCUGUUAAAGACAAGCCCAGUGGAGAUAGCGGAAGUAAAUCUCGGGGAAGCACAAAG
rnacentral:lncRNA from 1 species